UCUCUUUUCCUCACGUCAUCAACCAGCAGGACUAUUUUUCCUGCGUACAACUGGGCUGCCUCUAGCCUAACUCAGAUCUUCCGGCCAUCAGGAGGAAACAAGUUUCGAUUGGAUCCGCUGAUCUUAGUAGAGGCAGAUGUGUUUUGGGCUUAAGGAAGCAUUCAGUUAUUCAUCGAUUAACUGAAAACGAACGAGCACCCUGAAAAUUCAGGUAAUACAUAUAGAGCCUUUUUAUGUUUAACUUUCAGAAACGCUUUAUUUCAAUUCACGCCGGUGAUUUUAUUUUCAUAUAUGUGUGUGUAGAUGGC